rnacentral:rRNA from 1 species
UACGUAGGCAGCGAGCGUUGUUCGGAGUUACUGGGCGUAAAGGGUGUGCAGGCGGUUCUUUAAGUUUGGUGUGAAAUCUCCCGGCUCAACCGGGAGGGUGCGCCGAAUACUGAGGGACUUCGAGUGCGGGAGAGGAAAGUGGAAUUCCUGGUGUAGCGGUGAAAUGCGUAGAUAUCAGGAGGAACACCGGUGGUGUAGACGGCUUUCUGGACCGUAACUGACGCUGAGACACGAAAGCGUGGGUAGCAAACAGG